AAACUGAUGAUGAUUAACUCGGAUUCCCCUUCAGGACAUCUUGGAUGAUGCAAAAACCGAGUCACUGAAGCU